UGCCCAGCAACUCCUAUCCCUACCUCCACGCGGUACCGGCCGGAAACUAUGAGCAACCUUAGGGAAGAUUGGGUAACCAACCCCGGUGGGAACUUUGGUCGUAGGCUGACAGGGAAGG
rfam:Aedes albopictus isolate Foshan contig66586, whole genome shotgun sequence.